GUGCCUCAGACAUGCAAGUCGAACGCGAAAGGCCCCUUCGGGGGCCGAGUAGAGUGGCGCACGGGUGAGUAACACGUGGGUAAUCUACCUCUGGGUGGGGAAUAACAGCCGGAAACGGCUGCUAAUACCGCAUAAUGCAGCGGCACCACAUGGUGACAGUUGUUAAAGCGGGGGAUCGUAAGACCUCGCGCCUAGAGAGGAGCCCGCGGCGGAUUAGCUAGUUGGUAGGGUAACGGCCUACCAAGGCGACGAUCCGUAGCCGGCCUGAGAGGGCGGACGGCCACACUGGCACUGACAUACGGGCCAGACUCCUACGGGAGGCAGCAGUCGGGAAUUUUGGGCAAUGGGCGAAAGCCUGACCCAGCAACGCCGCGUGAAGGAUGAAGCUUCUCGGAGUGUAAACUUCAUAAGAAUGGGACGAAUAAGUGGGGGAUAACACCCCCCAUGAUGACGGUACCAUUUGUAAGCUCCGGCUAACUCCGUGCCAGCAGCCGCGGUAAUACGGGGGGAGCAAGCGUUGUUCGGAUUUACUGGGCGUAAAGAGCUCGUAGGCGGUUUGUCGCGUCUGCUGUGAAAACCCGAGGCUCAACCUCGGGCCUG
rnacentral:rRNA from 1 species